rnacentral:rRNA from 1 species
ACAGAGAGCUUGCUCUCGGGUGACGAGCGGCGGACGGGUGAGUAAUGUCUGGGAAACUGCCUGAUGGAGGGGGAUAACUACUGGAAACGGUAGCUAAUACCGCAUAACGUCGCAAGACCAAAGUGGGGGACCUUCGGGCCUCAUGCCAUCAGAUGUGCCCAGAUGGGAUUAGCUAGUAGGUGGGGUAAUGGCUCACCUAGGCGACGAUCCCUAGCUGGUCUGAGAGGAUGACCAGCCACACUGGAACUGAGACACGGUCCAGACUCCUACGGGAGGCAGCAGUGGGGAAUAUUGCACAAUGGGCGCAAGCCUUAUGCAGCCAUGCCGCGUGUGUGAAGAAGGCCUUCGGGUUGUA